rnacentral:snRNA from 1 species
GUGCUUCCUUCAGUAGCACAUAUACUAAAACUGGAAAGAUACAGAGAAGAUUAGUGUGGCCCCUGCACAAGGAUGACAUGCAAAUUCGAAAAGUGUUCCAUAAUUUU